UGCCUGGCUCGCUUCCUGUUGUUCCUUGA
rnacentral:piRNA from 1 species